AACGAACGCUGGCGGCGUGCCUAACACAUGCAAGUCGAACGGAAUUUGAGAGCUUGCUCUUAAAUUUAGUGGCGCACGGGUGAGUAACGCGUAGAUAAUCUGCCUGACGAUCUGGGAUAACACUUCGAAAGAGGUGCUAAUACCGGAUAAGCCCACGGGUUCUUUGGAAUCUGCGGGAAAAGGGGGGGACCUUCGGGCCUUCUGUCGUCAGAUGAGUCUGCGUACCAUUAGCUAGUUGGUAGGGUAAAGGCCUACCAAGGCGGCGAUGGUUAGCGGGUCUGAGAGGAUGAUCAGCCACACUGGAACUGGGACACGGUCCAGACUCCUACGGGAGGCAGCAGUGGGGAAUUUUGCGCAAUGGGCGAAAGCCUGACGCAGCAACGCCGCGUGAGUGAUGAAGGCUUUCGGGUCGUAAACUCCUGUCGAGCGGGAAGAACGUUUCGCGGAUGAAUAAGCCGCGGAAGUGACGGUACCGCUAAAGGAAGCCCCGGCUAACUCCGUGCCAGCCGCCGCCGUAAGAC
rnacentral:rRNA from 1 species